AUAUUUGCAAAUUGCCCUCUCUAACUGUGUAAAGAAUUGAGUUGGAAUUUUGAUGGGGAUUGCAUUGAAUCUGUAGAUUGCUUUCAGCAAGAUGACCAUUUUGACUAUAUUAAUCCUGCCAAUCCAUGAGCAUGGGAGAUCUUUCCAUCUUCUGAGAUAUUCUUUUUUUUCUUUCUUCAGAGACUUGGAGUUCUUAUCAUACAGAUCUUUCACUUCCUUAGAGUCACACCAAGGCAUCUUAUAUUAUUUGUGACUAUUGUGAAGGAUGUUAUUUCCCUAAUUCAUUUUUCAGCCUGUUUAUCCUUUGUGUAGAGGAAGGCUGCUGAUUUGUUUGAGUUAAUUUUAUAUCCAGCUACUUUGCUAAAGUUCUUUCUCAGAUUUAGGAGUUCUCUGGUGGAAUUUUUGGGAUCACUUAAGUAUAAUAUAUCAUCUGCAAAUACUGAUAGUUUGACUUCUUCCUUUCCAAUUUUUAUCCCUUUGAUCUCCUUUUGUUGUCUAAUUGCUUUAGCUAGGACUUCAAGUACUAUAUUGAAUAGGUAGGGAAAUAGUGGGCAGCCUUGUCUAGUCACUGAUUUUAGUGGGAUUGUUUCAAGUUUCUCUCCAUUUAGUUUGAUGUUGGCUACUGGUUUGCUGUAGAUUGCUUUUUACUAUUUUUAGGUAUGGGCCUUGAAUUCCUGAUCUUUCCAAGACUUUAAUCAUGAAUGGGUGUUGGAUUUUGUCAAAUGCUUUCUCAGCACCUAAUGCAAUGAUCAUGUUUUUUUUUUUCUUUGAGUUUGUUUAUAUAGAGGAUUAUGUUGAUGGAUUUCUGUAUGGUGAGCCAUCCCGGCAUCACUGGGAUGAAACCUACUUGAUCAUGAUGGAUAAUCAUUUUGAUAUGUUCUUGUAUCUGUUUGCAAGAAUUUAUUUUUUAUUUCUAAUUAGAUAUUUUCUUUCUUUACAUUUCAAAUGUUAUCCCCUUUCCUACUUUCCUCUCUGAAAAUCCUCUAUCCUCUCUCUCUCCCCUUUCAUCCAACCAACCCACUCCCACUACAUGGCCCUGGCAUUCCCCUAUACUUCACAAGACCAAUUGCCUCUACUCCCAGGAUCUUUUUUUUUUUUUUUUUUUUUUUGGUUGGAGACUAUUAGUGACUGCUUCUUCUAUCUCUUUAGGGGACAUGAAACUGUUUACAUUAUUAAUCUGAUCCUGAUUUAACUUUGGUAUCUUGUAUCUGUCUAGGAAAUUGUCCAUUUCAUCCAGGUUUUCCAGUUUUGUUGAGUAUAAGCUUUUAUAGUUGGAUCUGAUGAGUUUUUGGAUUUCCUCAGAUUCUGUUCUUAUGUCCUUUUCAUUUCUGAUUUUGUUAAUUAGGAUACUAUCCCUGUGCCCUUUAGUUAGUCUGGCUAAGGGUUUAUCUAUUUUGUUGAUUUUCUCAAAGAAACAGCUCCUGGUUUGUUUGAUUCCUUGUAUAGUUCUUUUUCUUUCCCCUUAGUUGAUUUCAGCCCUGAGAUUGCUUAUUUCUUGUUGUCUACUUCUCUUGGGUGAAUUUGCUUCUUUCUUUUGUAGAGCUUUUAGGUGUUCUGUCAAGUUGCUAGUGUAUGCUAUCUUCAGUUUUUUUUUUUUUUUGUUUUUUUUUUGAGGCAGUCAGAGCUAUGAGUUUUCCUUUUAGAACUGCUUUCAUUGUGUCCCAUAAGUUUGGGUAUGUUGUGGCUUCAUUUUCAUUAAACUCUAAAAAGUCUUUAAUUUUCUUCUUUAUUUCUUCCUUGACAAAUUUAUCAUUGAAAAGAGUGUUGUUCAUCUUCAGUGUGUAUGUUGGUUUUCUAUUAUUUAUGUUGUUAUUGAAGAUCAGUGAUGAUUAGUCUGUGGUGAUCUGAUAGAAUGCAUGGGAUAAGUUCAAUAUUUUUGUAUCUGUUGAGGCCUGGUUUGUGACCAAUUAUAUGGUCAGUUUUGGAGAAGGCACCAUCAGGUGCUGAAAAGAAGGUAUAUCCUUUAGUUUUAGUGUAUAGCAUUCUAUAGACAUCUGUUAAAACCAUUUGUUUCAUAACUUCUGUUUCAAUGUGUCUCUGUUUAGUUUCUGUUUCCAUGAUCUGUCCAUUAAUGAGAGUGGGUUGUUGAAGUCUCCCAGUAUUAUUGUGUGCAGUAUAAUUUGUGCUUUGAGUUUUAGUAAAGUUUAUGUUAUGAAUGCGGAUGCCCUUGCAUUUAGAUUAUAGAUGUUCAGAAUUGAGAGUUUAUCUUGGUAGAUUUUACCUUUGAUGAGUAUUAAGUGUACCUCCUUGUCUUUUUUUAAUAACUUUAGGAUGAAAGUCAAAUUUAUUUG
rnacentral:lncRNA from 1 species